AACGGCGAGUGAAGCGGCAAAAGCUCAAAUUUGAAAUCUGGCUUCGGCCCGAGUUGUAAUUUGUAGAGGAUGUUUCGGGCACCGCCCCGGCGUAAGUCCCUUGGAACAGGGCGUCAUAGAGGGUGAGAAUCCCGUCUGGCGUCGUGGUAGGGCCCAUGUGAAACUCCUUCGACGAGUCGAGUUGUUUGGGAAUGCAGCUCAAAAUGGGUGGUAAAUUUCAUCUAAAGCUAAAUACUGGCCAGAGACCGAUAGCGCACAAGUAGAGUGAUCGAAAGAUGAAAAGCACUUUGAAAAGAGAGUUAAACAGUAUGUGAAAUUGUUGAAAGGGAAGCGCUUACAACCAGACUUGAGCCCGUCGGUUCCCCCUCGCUUCUGCGUGGGCUACUCCGGCGGGUCCAGGCCAACAUCGGUUCGGGUGGCUGGUCAAAGGCCCCGGGAAUGUACCUCACCUUCGGGUUAGGCUUAUAGCCCGGGGUGUCAUGCGGCCUACCUGGACCGAGGAACGCGCUUCGGCUCGGAUGUUGGCGUAAUGGUUGUCAGCGACCCGUCUUGAAACACGGACCAAGGAGUCGAAGAGCUAUGCGAGUGUUUGGGUGUCAAACCCGUACGCGUAAUGAAAGUGAACGGAGGUAGGAAGCUUCGGCUGCACUAUCGACCGAUCCUGAUGUUCUCGGAUGGAUUUGAGUAAGAGCAUAACUCUCCGGACCCGAAAGAUGGUGAACUAUGCCUGAAUAGGGUGAAGCCAGAGGAAACUCUGGUGGAGGCUCGCAGCGGUUCUGACGUGCAAUCGAUCGUCAAAUUUGGGUAUAGGGGCGAAAGACUAAUCGAACCAGUAGCUGGUUCCUGCCGAAGUUUCCCUCAGGAUAGCAGUAACGUUUUCAGUUUAUGAGGUAAAGCGAAUGAUUAGAGGCCUUGGGUUGAACAACCUUAACCUAUUCUCAACUUUAAAUAUGUAGAGUCCUUGUUACUUAGUGA
rnacentral:rRNA from 1 species